UACGUAGGGGGCGAGCGUUGUCCGGAAUCAUUGGGCGUAAAGAGCGUGUAGGCGGCUUGGAAAGUCUUACGUGAAAGCCUGCGGCUCAACCGCAGAAGUGCGUAGGAAACUUCCUCGCUAGAGUCCGGAAGAGGAGAGCGGAAUUCCUGGUGUAGCGGUGGAAUGCGCAGAUAUCAGGAGGAACACCCGUGGCGAAGGCGGCUCUCUGGGACGGUACUGACGCUGAGACGCGAAAGCGUGGGGAGUGAACAGG
rnacentral:rRNA from 1 species